rnacentral:rRNA from 1 species
UACGUAGGCAGCGAGCGUUGUUCGGAAUUACUGGGCGUAAAGGGUGUGUAGGCGGUGCUCUAAGUCUGUCGUGAAAUCUCCCGGCUUAACUGGGAGGGUGCGGCGGAAACUGGUGUGCUCGAGGGUGGGAGAGGUAAGCGGAAUUCCUGGUGUAGCGGUGAAAUGCGUAGAUAUCAGGAGGAACACCUGCGGUGUAGACAGCUUACUGGACCACUUCUGACGCUGAGACACGAAAGCGUGGGUAGCAAACAGG